AGGACGAACGCUGGCGGCGUGCUUAACACAUGCAAGUCGAGCGGAAAGGCCCUUCGGGGUACUCGAGCGGCGAACGGGUGAGUAACACGUGAGCAACCUGCCCCUAGCUUCGGGAUAGCUCCGGGAAACCGGAAUUAAUACCGAAUAUGACCAUGGACGACAUCAGCCAUGGUGGAAAGUUUUUCGGCUAGGGAUGGACUCGCGGCCUAUCAGCUAGUUGGUGAGGUAACGGCCCACCAAGGCGACG
rnacentral:rRNA from 1 species